CCUACGGGGGGCAGCAGUAGGGAAUAUUGCUCAAUGGGGGAAACCCUGAAGCAGCAACGCCGCGUGGAGGAUGAAGGUUUUAGGAUUGUAAACUCCUUUUCUAAGAGAAGAUAAUGACGGUAUCUUAGGAAUAAGCACCGGCUAACUCCGUGCCAGCAGCCGCGGUAAUACGGAGGGUGCAAGCGUUACUCGGAAUCACUGGGCGUAAAGAGUGCGUAGGCGGGGUAAUAAGUCAGAUGUGAAAUCCUGUAGCUUAACUACAGAACUGCAUUUGAAACUGUUACUCUAGAGUAUGGGAGAGGUAGGUGGAAUUCUUGGUGUAGGGGUAAAAUCCGUAGAGAUCAAGAGGAAUACUCAUUGCGAAGGCGACCUGCUGGAACAUUACUGACGCUGAUGCACGAAAGCGUGGGGAGCAAACAGGAUUAGAUACCCGGGUAGUCC
rnacentral:rRNA from 1 species